rnacentral:rRNA from 1 species
CAGAAUGAACGCUGGCGGCGUGCUUAACACAUGCAAGUCGAACGGUAACAGGAAGUAGCUUGCUACUUUGCUGACGAGUGGCGCACGGGUGAGUAAUAUAUAGAUAAUGUGCCUCUUAGUCUGGGAUAGCCAUUGGAAACGAUGAUUAAUACUGGAUACUCCUUCUUACCAAAAGGUAAGUUGGGAAAGUUUUUCGCUAAGAGAUCGGUCUAUAUCCCAUCAGCUUGUUGGUAGUGUAAGAGACUACCAAGGCGAUGACGGGUAGCGGGUUUGAGAGGAUGAUCCGCCACACUGGUACUGAGACACGGACCAGACUCCUACGGGAGGCAGCAGUGAGGAAUAUUGCACAAUGGGGGAAACCCUGAUGCAGCAACGCCGCGUGGAGGAUGACGCAUUUCGGUGUGUAAACUCCUUUUAUAUGUCAAGAAAAUGACGGUAGCAUAUGAAUAAGCACCGGCUAACUCCGUGCCAGCAGCCGCGGUAAUACGGAGGGUGCAAGCGUUAUUCGGAAUCACUGGGCGUAAAGGACGCGUAGGCGGGUUGGAAAGUCAGAUGUGAAAUCCUACAGCUUAACUGUAGAACUGCAUUUGAAACUUCCAAUCUAGAGUAUGGGAGGGGGAGAUGGAAUUAGUGGUGUAGGGGUAAAAUCCGUAGAUAUCACUAGGAAUACCGAAAGCGAAGGCGAUCUCCUGGAACAUAACUGACGCUAAGGCGUGAAAGCGUGGGGAGCAAACAGGAUUAGAUACCCUGGUAGUCCACGCCCUAAACGAUGUUCACUAGUCGUCGGGAUGCUAGUCAUCUCGGUGAUGCACUUAACAGAUUAAGUGAACCGCCUGGGGAGUACGGUCGCAAGAUUAAAACUCAAAGGAAUAGACGGGGACCCGCACAAGUGGUGGAGCAUGUGGUUUAAUUCGAAGAUACGCGAAGAACCUUUACCUAGCCUU